GUACUUACCUGGUAGGGGAGAUACCAUGAUCAUGAAGGUAGUUUUCCCAGAGUGAGAUUUAUCCAUUGCACUCCAUAUGCGCUGACUCCUGUGAUUUCCCCAAAUGCUGGAAAUUUGACUGCAUAAUUUGUGGUAGUGGGGGCUGCAUUAGAGUGCUCCCCCUU
rnacentral:snRNA from 1 species